AGAGCUUGCUCUGGGGCAGAGCCGCGAACGGGUGAGUAACACGUGGGUAACCCACCCCGAUGACCGGGACAACCCGAGGAAACUCGGGCUAAUACCGGAUGUGCUCCUUCAUCACGAGGUGAUUGAGUAAAGAUAGCUUCGGCCUUCGCAUCGGGACGGGCCCGCGGCCCAUUAGCUUGUUGGUGGGGUAACGGCCUACCAAGCCUACGAUACGUAGCCUGUUCUGAGAGGACGAUCAGUGACGGGUAGCUGGUCUGAGAGGAUGAUCAGCGCUGGUUUGAGAGGAUGAUCAGCCACACUGGGAUGAGACACGGCCCAGACUCCUACGGGACUCCUACGGGAGGCAGCAGUGGGGAAUAUUGCGCAAUGGGGGAAACGCGAAAGCGUGACGCAGCAACGCCGCGUGGGGGAAGAAGGCCUUCGGGUUGUAAACCCCUUUCAGUUGGGACGAAGCUUCGCCGGUGAAUAGCCGGCUGGAGUGACGGUACCUUCACAAGAAGCCCCGGCUAACUACGUGCCAGCAGCCGCGGUAAUACAAGGAUGCUAGCGUUGUCCGGAAUCAUUGGGCGUAAAGCGCGUGUAGGCGGUUCGGUAAGUCCGCUGUAAAAGUCGGGGGCUCAACCCUCGAAAGCCGGUGGAUACUGUCGGGCUAGAGUGCGGAAGAGGCGAGUGGAAUUCCUGGUGUAGCGGUGAAAUGCGCAGAUAUCUGGAGGAAUACCGAUGGCGAAGGCAUGCGAAGGCAGCUCGCUGGCCUAAUACUGACGCUGAGGUACGAAAGCAUGGAGCAAACAGGACGAAAGCGUGGAGCAAACAGGAUUAGAUACCCUGGGUAUCCACGCCCUAAACGAUGAUUUAGCCGUCGGGCAGUAUACUGUGGCUAGGUGUGGGGGGUGUCGACUCCCUCCGUGCCGAAGCUAACGCAUUAAGUGCCCCGCCUGGGGAGUACGGCCGCAAGCACCUGGGGAGUACGUUCGCAAGAAUGAAACUCAAAGGAAUUGACGGGGGCCCGCACAU
rnacentral:rRNA from 1 species